GCAAACUUGGAGUGUCAUUUUGGUAAUCUCACAGCAACCGAACCCAAUAAAACAUAGCACACUUGCACAGCCAUCAUAAUAAAAACACUCCAAUUCCCCAAGCUCUCUUUCUCUAGAAAUCAAUCAAAUAAUUCCAUUAAUUUUCCAACUUCGGAUUUUCUUUCAUUUUUUUCUGUUAUUUUUUAUGAUUUGGGUAUUUGAUUUGUCCUUCUUUUUUGUCCGUCUUUGCAGUGUUGAAAGAAAUGAAGCUUUAUAGAGGAAGUAUGCAAAAAUUGGGUUCUUCACCAGUUGAAGAUAUUCCAGCAAUACAGUAAAUUGUGUUGGAGUUUCUUGCUGGUAAAAUGGUUUUCUAUGGAAAAAAGGUUGUUGCUGAUUCUCGAAAAGGACUUGUUCGCAUUGGAAGGGGUGAUGAGGGUUUGCUUCAUUUCCAGUGGCUUGAUAGGAAUUUGAAUGCUGUGGAAGAUGUAUCCUAUUUAUUAUUAUGUUUUUGAGCCUGGGAUUUUGUUUCUCUCUUCUAACAUUGGUUUUUAUUUCUUUUUCUGUUGUUUGUUUUGUUAAUAUUCUUUUUGGUGAGAACUUGAUAGCUUUUUCUUGACGUCUUGAUUGAUAGGAUCGAAUUAUUUUUUCUGAAGAGGCUGUUUUUGAGAAGGAACACUUUUCUUUCUUAGUUUUUCUUAGAUGGGAGAUCUUUGACUCUAAUAAUUGAUUGUAAUAUCAUAGAUUUCAUAAUUCUUUGGGUUAUUUAGGUUAAUCAAGCUUUGGGAAGAGUUUACAUCUUGAAAUUCAAUACAGAUGAUCAAAAGUUUUUCAUUUGGAUGCAGGCCAGGUUCAUUUUCUGUGUUUUUCACUCUCUUAUGUGUAACAUUGACUCAGCUGUUAGUUGCAUGAUUUUGAAAAAUUGUGUAAUAUGUUUGCAGGAGCCAAAAUCUAAAGAUGAUUCACAAUUGUGUAACUCUGUCAACUAUUAUAUUAAUUGUCAAUUUGGUAAAUACUUUUGUGUUUUGAGUCCUUUGUUAGUGUAACACCCUAAAAAAUUAUCAUUUUACCCUUAAUGAGUCUUUUUGCUUCCAUUUGACGGUCCUUAUUCUUUGAUAGCACUACUGAGCUCCGUUCAUCCUAAAAUUUUAACCAGAUUUUAUUUAAUAUAUUUUAAGGUUCCUCAUAAAAUUUCAGCUCAAUCUGAUUGUCGGAUUUAAAAUUACGUCCAAUAACGUAAAACUAGUCAAAUAAUGAUUUUUCAUCAAAUUUCCGAAUUUCUCUAAAAAUUCUGAAAUUUUAACCCAAGCUAAGGAAUCAUAUUAGAAGGCUCCACGCAAAUUUUCAGAAUUUGCUGAUAACCCGAUCGAGAGUUACAAAUUUUUUUCUUUUUGUUUUACAUGAAACUAGUUAAUUUAUAAUUUUUCGCCUAGAAGUUUUACAGUUAGCCAUGCUACUCGUCAUUAUUUUAUUCCUAAUUAUCUUGACUUAUAUUUAAAUGCAAAGUCUAAUCUUCUACCCCUCCCUCCCCCGAUCUUUUAAAUGCAAACAAUUUGGUGUAGUUGAUAAAUCACUUUUGCUAAUUUCACAUCAGAAAGUUGUAUAAUUGCUUUAUGGUCAUCUCUCUCAUAGAGGUUUUUUUUAUCUUGCAUCUGCAUUUAUCUCCUCCCAUCUCCACAAUUUCAUAAAGAAAACCUCUAUUCACAGAAAGAUCAUAUUAGACUAAUUGGAUUUCCUGUUUCUACUUUCUGUUUAUUUAUUUAUUUAGUUACACACUCCGUAUGUGUGAAUUGGUCUUCCUAAAAUUUUACUAACCAGUUUUACACCUUCAAACUAAUGACCUGGCUUAUAACUUCAGCACUUAUUCAAGAGUGAAGUUUUUCCAUCAGCAACGUUGCUGCUUUAUCUUGUUGUCUGGCAGAGUUCCUUGAUGAAAGAAGAGCCUGAUGCUUCUACUCCUUUCCAGGUUUUUGAAGACAUGCUUGAAGAUAAUAUCUCAUCAAGGUAUCAUACCACCUAGAACGAAGUUUUCUUUCAGGCGUUUCAGCCAAUCGAUACGACUGCGGAGAGCAGCUUUUGCUAAAACACCAGCAGUUUCUUAAAAACUCGCUUCGGAUAUGAAACUUUGAGUACUCAGAGAUGCUCUUGUUAUUCCCAGCACAGACUUGCCCUCGGGGACUGGAAACUUAAUUGUCCCAGACCUUGGUGCAGAUGUAAUGAGUGAUGUAACCUCUUCAUCAGGACCAGUGAAAUUGGAAGACUUGCAAUAAAUCCUGAGUAAUAUUGGUGCUGGAGGAAUGUUCUGCUCAAAUAUUGCAAUUGACCAUAUCCUUGUUUGCUGCACUUAGGUUGGCCCGCGUGAUGUGAUGAUAUAUGUUGCAGGUAGUUCGGGUGAUCCAGAUGAAGGGGAUAUACUGAAGCUUGAUUUGAUAAUGCCAUUGAUUGAGACAUUGCCGCUUGAAGAAGGAUUAACAUCUCACUUACCUGAGGUAUAAGACGGUCUUAUGUUUGGGAUUUCCUGUGUGUUUUAUGUCGGUGCAUUCUGAGGUAAUUAUGAGGUUGCAGGGUCACUGCACUCCAGAGGAUAUUUUGGACUUGUUUCAGAGUCCUCCUUUCCGUCAGCAAAUGGAUUUUUUUUACUUAUAUAAGAAAUGCGAGGCUGAUUCUUCUUGUUCUGUUUCUUGUCCUUUUGAUGAUAGCCAAUUUUACAAGGCUUAACUCUUCUUUUUGUUUGAAGGUUUUCCGAACUGGACAUAUAGAUUUGUCUCAAUUUAGGAUCAACCUGUAGCAUAGCAAUGGUUCUUAAAUACAUGAUUUUCUCUUUAGCAAAUCA